rnacentral:rRNA from 1 species
CCUACGGGAGGCAGCAGUGGGGAAUAUUGGACAAUGGGGGGAACCCUGAUCCAGCGACGCCGCGUGAGUGAAGAAGUAUUUCGGUAUGUAAAGCUCUAUCAGCAGGGAAGAAAAUGACGGUACCUGACUAAGAAGCCCCGGCUAACUACGUGCCAGCAGCCGUGGGAAUACGGAGGGGGCAAGCGUUAUCCGGAUUUACUGGGUGUAAAGGGAGCGUAGACGGUGCAGCAAGUCUGAUGUGAAAGUUCGGGGCCCAACCGCGGGACUGCAUUUGAUACUGUUGAACUGGAGUACAGGAGAGGUAGGCGGAAUUCGUGGUGUAGCGGUGAAAUGCGUAGAUAUUAGGAAGAACACC